UACGUAGGGGGCAAGCGUUGUCCGGAUUUAUUGGGCGUAAAGAGCGUGUAGGCGGCUAGAUAGGUCCGUUGUGAAAACUCGAGGCUCAACCUCGAGACGUCGAUGGAAACCAUCUGGCUAGAGUCCGGAAGAGGAGAGUGGAAUUCCUGGUGUAGCGGUGAAAUGCGCAGAUAUCAGGAGGAACACCGGUGGCGAAGGCGGGUCUCUGGGCCAAUACUGACGCUGAGGAGCGAAAGCGUGGGGAGCGAACAGG
rnacentral:rRNA from 1 species